rnacentral:rRNA from 1 species
CCUACGGGAGGCUGCAGUGGGGAAUAUUGGGCAAUGGAGGCAACUCUUACCCAGCAAUGCCGCGUGAAUGAAGAAGGUCUUCGGAUUGUAAAGUUCUUUAAUUGGGGACGAAAAAAAUGACGGUACCCAAGGAAUAAGCCCCGGCUAACUACGUGCCAGCAGCCGCGGUAAUACGUCGGGGGCUAGCGUUAUCCGGAAUUACUGGGCGUAAAGGGUGCGUAGGUGGUUUCUUAAGUCAGAGGUGAAAGGCUACGGCUCAACCGUAGUAAGCCUUUGAAACUGGGGAACUUGAGUGCAGGAGAGGAGAGUGGAAUUCCUAGUGUAGCGGUGAAAUGCGUAGAUAUUAGGAGGAACACCAGUGGCGAAGGCGGCUCUCUGGACUGUAACUGACACUGAGGCACGAAAGCGUGGGGAGCAAACAGGAUUAGAUACCCUAGUAGUC